GAUGAACGCUGGCGGCGUGCCUAAUACAUGCAAGUCGAGCGAACGGACGAGAAGCUUGCUUCUCUGAUGUUAGCGGCGGACGGGUGAGUAACACGUGGAUAACCUACCUAUAAGACUGGGAUAACUUCGGGAAACCGGAGCUAAUACCGGAUAAUAUUUUGAACCGCAUGGUUCAAAAGUGAAAGACGGUCUUGCUGUCACUUAUAGAUGGAUCCGCGCUGCAUUAGCUAGUUGGUAAGGUAACGGCUUACCAAGGCAACGAUGCAUAGCCGACCUGAGAGGGUGAUCGGCCACACUGGAACUGAGACACGGUCCAGACUCCUACGGGAGGCAGCAGUAGGGAAUCUUCCGCAAUGGGCGAAAGCCUGACGGAGNCACGCCGCGUGAGUGAUGAANGUCUUCGGAUCGUAAAACUCUGUUAUUAGGGAAGAACAUAUGUGNUAGUAACUGUGCACAUCUUGACGGUACCUAAUCAGAAAAGCACGGCUAACUACGUGCCAGCAGCCGCGGUAAUACNUANGUGGGGCAGCGUAUCCGGAUUUAUGGNCCGUAAGCGCGCGUAGCGGUUUUUUAGUCUGAUGUGAAAGCCCACGGCUCAACCGUGGAGGGUCAUUGGAAACUGGAAAACUUGAGUGCAGAAGAGGAAAGUGGAAUUCCAUGUGUAGCGGUGAAAUGCGCAGAGAUAUGGAGGAACACCAGUGGCGAAGGCGACUUUCUGGUCUGUAACUGACGCUGAUGUGCGAAAGCGUGGGGAUCAAACAGGAUUAGAUACCCUGGUAGUCCACGCCGUAAACGAUGAGUGCUAAGUGUUAGGGGGUUUCCGCCCCUUAGUGCUGCAGCUAACGCAUUAAGCACUCCGCCUGGGGAGUGCGACCGCAAGGUUGAAACUCAAAGGAAUUGACGGGGACCCGCACAAGCGGUGGAGCAUGUGGUUUAAUUCGAAGCAACGCGAAGAACCUUACCAAAUCUUGACAUCCUUUGACAACUCUAGAGAUAGAGCCUUCCCCUUCGGGGGACAAAGUGACAGGUGGUGCAUGGUUGUCGUCAGCUCGUGUCGUGAGAUGUUGGGUUAAGUCCCGCAACGAGCGCAACCCUUAAGCUUAGUUGCCAUCAUUAAGUUGGGCACUCUAAGUUGACUGCCGGUGACAAACCGGAGGAAGGUGGGGAUGACGUCAAAUCAUCAUGCCCCUUAUGAUUUGGGCUACACACGUGCUACAAUGGACAAUACAAAGGGCAGCGAAACCGUGAGGUCAAGCAAAUCCCAUAAAGUUGUUCUCAGUUCGGAUUGUAGUCUGCAACUCGACUACAUGAAGCUGGAAUCGCUAGUAAUCGUAGAUCAGCAUGCUACGGUGAAUACGUUCCCGGGUCU
rnacentral:rRNA from 1 species